rnacentral:rRNA from 1 species
CAGCCGCCGCGGGAAUACGUAGGUGGCAGGCGUUGUCCGGAAUUAUUGGGCGUAAAGGGCUCGCAGGCGGUUUCUUAAGUCUGAUGUGAAAGCCCCCGGCUCAACCGGGGAGGGUCAUUGGAAACUGGGAAACUUGAGUGCAGAAGAGGAGAGUGGAAUUCCACGUGUAGCGGUGAAAUGCGUAGAGAUGUGGAGGAACACCAGUGGCGAAGGCGACUCUCUGGUCUGUAACUGACGCUGAGGAGCGAAAGCGUGGGGAGCGAACAGGAUUAGAUACCCCAGUAGUCCCUGUCUCUUAUAU